UACGUAGGGCGCAAGCGUUGUCCGGAAUUAUUGGGCGUAAAGAGCUCGUAGGCGGCUUGUCACGUCGGGUGUGAAAGACCGGGGCUUAACCCCGGUUCUGCAUUCGAUACGGGCUGGCUAGAGUGUGGUAGGGGAGAUCGGAAUUCCUGGUGUAGCGGUGAAAUGCGCAGAUAUCAGGAGGAACACCAGUGGCGAAGGCGGUUACCUGGAGCUUUGCUGACGCUGAUGCGCGAAAGCGUGGGGAGCGAUCCGG
rnacentral:rRNA from 1 species